UGAUGAUCUUCAAACUCAGGUUACCAUUGAGAAUAGGGCUCUUCAAUGUCUGCUUAAUUUGUUGAAACAAAAUUUUGAGAAAAGCAUAAAAAAGGAAGCCUGUUGGACUAUCUCAAACAUCACUGCAGGAAAUAGAGAUCAAAUUCAGGCUGUGAUUGAGGCUGGUCUCAUUGCCCCUCUUGUUGUUUUGCUUCAAACUGCUGAGUUUGAGAUAAAGAAAGAAGCUGCUUGGGCUAUUUCAAAUGCCACUUCUGGUGGAACUCAUGACCAAAUCAAGUUCUUGGUACAAGCGGGGUGUAUAAAGCCACUCUGUA